rnacentral:rRNA from 1 species
GACGAACGCUGGCGGCGUGCUUAACACAUGCAAGUGGUGCGACGAACCAGGCUUCGGCCUGGGGCAGAGCCGCGAACGGGUGAGUAACACGUGGGCAACCUGCCCUGUUGAUCGGGACAACCCGGGGAAACCCGGGCUAAUACCGAAUGUGGUGCCGGCUCAUGAGAGCCAUCACGAAAGGAAGCUUCGGCCUCCGCGACAGGAUGGGCCCGCGGCCCAUUAGCUUGUUGGUGGGGUAAUGGCCUACCAAGGCAACGAUGGGUAGCUGGUCUGAGGGGACGAUCAGCCACACUGGGACUGAGACAUGGCCCAGACUCCUACGGGAGGCUGCAGUGGGGAAUCUUGCGCAAUGAGCGACAGCUUGACGCAGCAACGCCGCGUGGGGGAAGAAGGCUUUCGGGUCGUAAACCCCUUUCAGUUAGGACGAAGCUUUAUUGGUUAAUAACCAAUUGGAGUGACGGUACUUUCAGAAGAAGCCCCGGCUAACUACGUGCCAGCCGCCGCGGUAA